rnacentral:rRNA from 1 species
AUGGAGGGACCGACGUCGGAACACCAGCAGGCAGUGAAGAGGAUCGUCCGCUACGUAGCAGGGACCCUCGACCACGGCCUCCACUACCCUAGGUGUCCGGGGGCGGCACACUUCGUCGGGUACAGCGAUAGCGACCACGCCGGCGACAUCGACACCAGCAAGAGCACGAGCGGCAUCAUCUUCUUCCUCGGCAAGUGUCUCGUGAGCUGGCAAUCAGUCAAGCAGCAGGUGGUGGCCCUGUCCAGCUGUGAGGCUGAGUACAUAGCGGCCUCCACCGCUUGCACUCAGGCGCUCUGGCUCGCUCGACUGCUUGGUGAUCUUCUCGUUCAAGACGCCAGAAGGGUGCAGCUCCUGGUGGACAGCAAGUCCGCCCUAGCCCUGGCAAAGAACCCCGUGUUCCACGAACGAAGCAAGCACAUCCGACUGAGGUAUCACUUCAUCCGCAGCUGUGUGGAAGAAGGGAGCAUCGAGGCGAGCUACAUCAACACCACGGACCAGCUCGCAGACCUGCUCACCAAGCCUCUUGGGAGGGUCAAGUUCCUCGAACUUUGCUCCAGGAUCGGGAUGAUUCAACUCUCCCACAAGACGACGUACAAGACUUAG